rnacentral:lncRNA from 1 species
UGACCCUUGGCCUCAGGGCCUCAACAGGUACUUGAGUCAUUCUCAGUUCCUAGGCCAGAGAGCCUGAUGGGCUCGGCUCCCUGGGAUCUCAGGGGUUGAGGGCCCCAGACUAGACCUUCUACCCAGCAGUGUCCUCCCUUUGUCUUCCAGAAUAGGGCUGUGUCCACCCACUUCUCUCCCUCUGAUAGUACAGAGGGAUCAGAAGGUGUGUGCAGAGGCCUUUGACCAAGCCUGGAUCCUGUCCCCACUUCCAGGGAGCAGGUCUGUGGCCAAGAGGAGGAGCUAACUGGGCCAGGUCAGCUGGGCCAGUGGGAAAGGCUGGGAACUAGUAACCCCCGUCCCCAACCCCCAGGCCCUCUGUCAUGAGCCCCAUGGGAGAGCGUGGAUUUAGAGAGCUACUGAACUGCGCCCAGCAUGCAGGGACAGAGCCAGGGCUGUGUCCUGGGAUGGGGCCCUGGGGUCUGGCUUGGCCCAGGGCAGACAGUGUGGGAGAAGAGGAAAGAGGACAGGCUCUGGGGGAGGGGACAGCCUUGACCUUUCCCUAGCCUCUGUGGUUUUCCCCAUGCUUCCUGAGUCAGCCAGCAAGUUUCUUAAUCCCUCUGUCAGCCUUCAGUGGCCCCGCCCACUUGGCUCUUUCAAGGCAGGAGCAAGAAUUCUUUCCCAGGGCCCAUCCCUCCUGCCAGGAAAGGGGAGCUGCCCCACGACUCCUGGAGGCCUGGGGCUUGGAGGGUCACACUGAGCCCAGGCUGCUUUCAGCAGACACCGACAGACCCCACAGCAGCUCCAGGAGCCCAGGUUCCAGUGGCCAGAGAGAAGACCCAGAGCUGCCUGCAGCCAUGUCAGCUCUCAGCCUGGUCAUUCUGGGCCUGCUUAUGGCAGUGCCACCUGCCAGCUGUCAGCAAGGUAGCACAGGACGGGGCCAGCCUGGGUGGUGCCGUGAGGAGAGGGCUGGGCUGGGUGCUGGGAACCCCUGGGGGUAGAUGGGAUGUCUUCCAGCCCUUCUUAUCACCUUGGCACCUAUGUUUGGAGGGGGAGCAGGGACUGGGCCAGCCAGGGGAAUCUCCAAAAGUGGACACCUCUGAGCCAGGCUUCUGUGUGUGUGGCUUGUUUCCCACUAGUGAGAAAUGGGAGCAAGAGUUCCUAUUGUGGCUCAGUGGUAACAAACCCAACUAGUAUCCAUGAGGACAUGGAUUAGAUUCCUGACCUCGCUUAGUGGAUUAAGGAUCCAGCAUUGCUGUGAGCUUUGGUGUAGGCUGCAGAUGUGGCUCAGAUCUGGCAUUGCCGUGGCUGCAUACAGCAGCUAUAGCUCCAAUUCAGCCCCUAGCCUGGGAACCUCCAUAUGCCACACCUGUGGCCCUUAAAAAAAAGAGAGAAAGAGAGAAAUGGGGGCGACAGAGGAAAUGCUGGGCUAGGGUUGAGGAGGGGAGUUGAGACCCAAGCUUCAGGAGCAGGAAUUGCCCUGCAGAUGGCUGGGUCCUGAGGACAGAGGGUGGGGGGCUAUAAGGAGAGGAGGUUGGGCCUGAGCUGUCCCUCAACCACAGACUUGUUUCAGGGGUCAGCGGUGCUGUCAGGGCUCAUGGCUUCGACCUAACCCCUCCUCAUUUCAGCUUCCUCCCUAGAAGACAGUGGAGCCCUCUCCAUGGGUGUGAGCUCUCUGUCCAGGUCUGCCUCUGUCCUGCUGUGUAGCCUUGAGCAAUUCACUGCCCCUCUCUGAGACUUAGUUUGCUCAUCCAUAAAAUGAGGACAAUAAACCUGUCCCAUGUACCUCCA